GGGGCCUCAAUUAGCCUGAUGGGUCUGUUGGCCGUGGGAAUGAAUACCUUCCUGGGAGGGAGACGCAGACUUCGACAGAGGGGUUUGCAGGUGUUUCUGUACGCUUCAGAGGCUGGAGAUAGGAGUCCUUAAUGCGGGUAGUGUCUAUACAGGCUAUUUCAUGUGGUAUAUCCGACACAAAGCUGGUUUGUGUAUCCACAUUUAUUAAAAUAUCUAAUACACUAUGCCUAAUGUAUAUAAAAUAACCUUAUUGUGUAUUUACACACGGUAUUUGAGAGCUGAGGUCUUUCUCGCCCCACGUCCUCUCGGUACUUGCUUGCUUUCCCCCCUGCCCUGCUGCGGUCUCUGCCGGACGAGUUGCCCGCUGUGGCAGGCAGUGUCAGCAACAGGGGAGGCUGAGCUGGCUUUCAAGGAGGUAAUGCUACUAAAGUAGGCAAAAGCAAACUGCUCAGCUCUUUUUCAGAAGCGAAGGUGACAGCCAGAUGGGUUCCUUAAGUAUUGCUGAGCAAAUUAUUUUUUUAAUCUUGAUUUCUUAAAGAAAUAAGGCAUAUGCAAAAUUGUAUCCCGUGUGCAUUUGCAUGUGAGUAUAAGGGAGUAAUUGUGUUGCUGUUUGCUUGCUGUUGCUUGAUUAGUUCUGCACCCCAUAAAUUUUGGGCCGAUUUCAACCAAAUGAAACAAAGGGGCAAAUUUUAAGACACUAAUUCUCAAAGAGAUAACAUUCCCUGUAAGUUCUGUGAACAUAGCUGGGCAGGGGAGGAAAGAGGAAAAAUACAAGCAUUAAUAUUGAAAUGUCAACAUUGGACAGAGAGGUUGUGGCACCGUGUUAGGAACUGAAUGCCUAGGAAUUGGAAAAUCCCUCUUUCAAUCAAAAUGUAUAUUCCUGUAGGAUUCAGUGGUGUCCAAUAAGGAGCAAAUCUCACUUGAAGCCUUUCAUGGUAGACAUGCAUAUUUCUCUUCUCUGUGGAUUUUCUGAUGCUCUGUUUAAGACAAGCCUGAAGCUUUGGUAUGAUUCAGUUAAAAAAUCUUGACAGUCAUGAGGUGCAAUUCCCUAGGAAAUGAGGCUUCAUAUAUGUCACUGCUUACAAAACUAUUGGUCUUAUCUACACUUCACUUACCCUUUGUAUAGCCAGUGUGCUUAGACGCGCCUUUUUCUGGCUUGUGUCAUGAACACGUAAUUUCUCUAAUACAGAGCUGAAAAGCAGCUCCUUGAGGCUGCAGACAGUUAAUGAAUGCACGGAGGAAAUGAUUUAUAGUGUAGGCUGAAUUACAUCUUACGUACUUUGCUGGGACUAACUCUCAGCUGGACUGUCUCCUUUGCUUCUCCAGCAUAAAGUACUAGGCAGUUCUUAAAUAUGAAUUUGCUUGUGGAAGCAGCUCCCGGUAAGGAUGCAGAGACUCUCACUUCAUAUUGCUUCUGCCUUAGUGUUAUCAUCAAUAAAUUUCUCAGACAGCUUCUUUGGAAGAUGAGGCUCAUUGAUCUACCCCUUUACCGUGCCAGCCAUAAUGCAGUGUUUUUUUAAGACUCUUUUUGGCAGCCCUCUUUACCUAAGUUGAAAACUUGAGUUUGCAUAGUUUGAAUUCUUUUGGAAUUUUGUCUUUGACAGCGUUGACAACAGCAUCCGCUUUUAACUGAAUAUAUUGUCUCACGAACCCAGGCUGAAUGAAAUGGGACCCAGCCUAUCAAUUCCAACUGUUCACCCUGUCUGUUUGUUGCCUGGGGGUUACCGCUCUUGCAGCAGGCGUAGUUGCAUUGCAUGUGAAGCAGGUAGUCUGUGCAGCUUGCAGGCUCCCACUAUGCAGUUCAGAGCCUGUGCUGAUCUGUAUUACUAUUUUGAUCUGUGAAGUGGAUUGCCUUUAUGCAUGACUCAGCUUCCUGUCACGGUAGCUGCCACCUCUGUGAAGGCUGAACUGGACAGAUGCCUCAGAGUGGUGAUCUCUUCAGCUGUCCGGCUUCAAUCUGUCUGCAUUUGGGGCUCAACGUCCUCAGAUUCAGCACCUGUGAAUGUAAAAUGCUGGGAAUGAAGUACUAUGAGGCUGAAAUGGAGAGGAUAAAGAAAUGAUUACAGAGAAACUUAAUUCAUUGCUUUACCUGAGACUUUAUCGGUAUGAAAGCACUCUGGGUUAACUCAGUUUGGAGAUUAGUUGGCAGCUUCUCUUAAAUUAAAAAGAAUUAUUUUUUUAAUUCAACAAGAAGAAAAAGAAUCUCAAAGAAUAUUAUGUAAACCCAAAUACAAAUCAUGAAGAGGAUACUACUGUGUUCAUUAUAAAUCAUACAUCAAAAUUAUCCUGUUUCAUGUUGAAUAACAGAUGUUUUAAAUUUUUUGUUUAGGAAAAUGUACUACUUUGGAAGUGGUAUUUUACAAUCAGUGUCUGUAUUUGAGUCCCAAACUAGUUAUGUGGAAGCUGCCUGAGCAGAGAUUCUCAUCCUGUAGAAAAAAUGGCAGAGCAUUGCCUGAAGGCAUGAUCCCCAAACUUUCACACUGACUUUACUGUACUUGGAGCAGAUCUUUAGUGUAUGUCAUUAAAGUUAAUGCAGGAAGUAUCCUUGUGCUGAACAGGAAUAAAACCAGAUCUGUAAUUCUGCAGUGCCUUCAUAUAAACAUGGCUAGUAGCUUGAUCCUGAAAAACCAUAAAUCAGUAAAGCGGCAGGGAAUCUUUACUGACAUGUAUUCAGUAUACAGAUUUUUCCCUUUUAUCUGAAUGUUUCUUGGGUUAUCAUUCUGGCCUCAUUUGCUCCAAGUUCAGAUAUAUUUAAAGGAAGCUACAGAAUGCAUCCCUUGGUAAAACACAUGAGUAAACCCAAGUUGUUCCUGAUGGCCUGAUCCUGCUGUAAUUCAGACAGAGUAGUGUUUUACUUCUUGAGCAGUCCCACAGGAAAUGGUAAGACACUGGAGCUGUGAAGUAUAGCUCAGUAGUCCUGAUCCAAAUCCAUGGAGAGCAGUAAAAAAAUGCACCAAGUUGUUUGUCUUAAACCCAGCAUGAAUAAGGGUUUGCAGUUUACAAACAACUUUCUGAGACAUGUUAUUCUGAGUUGAGUUUUGUGUAAAAAUGAGCAUUAUAGAUCAGCUCUAAUUGUCUGAAGAGCUUGGAAAGUAACCAGAGCGAUACGCUAUAGGCAGUGUUGUGAUACGAAGUUAACUAUGAGAAACAAAUUUAUUCUGUCUGCAAGCUAAAUUUCUGUUCUUGUUCAUACCUGCUUUAAUACUUUAAUACUUAUUGUGGGGUGUGCAAAAGUGCUCAGUAGUGGUUUAAUUUCAGUCUCGCUGCAAUCAGUGGAGACAUACUCAGUAAUUUUGUUGCAGGCAUACCCGUAGUUAGCACUUUUGGAAAUCCUAUACCAAGUAUGUGACAGGGUCAUAAUAGCUGAGGGUUUUCUUUUUCAUAUCUUUAAAGUAUUUUGCCCUGCACUAAAAUAUACCCACUGAGGUAUGACCUAGGUACUUAAAAUACCCAUCAGUUCUCCUCAGGUGUUUAGAACCUGGUUCUGCCAGGGGCUGCAUGUUCAGCCUUCCUAUUGUCUUCUUUCCAAAACGGUAGCUAUUUGUAGGACUUGGGAAGGCAAAGAUUUAAGAUCAGGUCAAAAAUCAAAGUUUAAGGGUCAGCAAAUUGACCAGCAUCUCCCCUUUCACAUAGAAGCUAAAGGAGUCCUGUGUGGAAUUAAUGUCUUCUCAUUGAAUACUAACUUUGAGUGGUUUUUUGCAGCUCCCUAGCAAGUUGGCCCAGUUUUAGGAGCAGGCAAAGCAAGGCAGUUGCCUAGAGCGACAGACGAAAGGAGGCAAUAAAAUCCCAUUUUAAGCAAGAAAGUGACCCUGUGACUCUGUGCCUGUUUCUGCCUGUUUAAUGAGGACUUGGUGCAUUCCCCAGGCAUCAUUCUCCCCAAGCUGCUGGGGUGCUGAGACUAAGCAAUCUCCUUACCACAGGAACCAUGGCCACAGUCCUGUUGUUUGAACAUCCCAUCUAUUUGUUCUUGUCUCUGCUUCAGCUUGCUGCUGCUGAUACUGAGGGGAGAAACUUUCUGUGCUUGUUCUCUGCUCCUUUUUCUUGACAGUGCUGUAUUACUAUUGCUGGGGUGGUUGGAUUGGCAGAAGAGCAGGGGCAGAUGUGCUGAGACUAGAGAGCUCACAGAAUUCAUGCUUCACUAAAAAAACCCCUGUUAUUAUUAUCCUUGCAAAUUGGGAAUGACAGGCUGCUGAGGCUUACUGAGUUUAUAUUUAUGUCAAGAAACUGAUUGCAAGAAAUAAGAGAUGUCUUAGCAAAUCUUACAUGGGUACUGGGUUCCUGUAAGGAUCUUUUACAGCCAUUUCAGGGCUCAGUUAACUCUACUUGAUGUAACUUCCAUUUUACACCCGGUUUUGAGUGCCAAAAAUGUUUGUUUCCUUCCUUCCCACCCCCCCCGCCCUUCACUCCUUGUGCUCUGACACCUCUAAGCUUUUGGGAUGAAUCUCUUCUGUGCUGUGAAUAGGUUGCUGUAUCAGGCUUUGCCAAUAGAGUCGAGGGUAGCCUUCAGUCUCACAACAUGGUUACAAGUUGUAACAGAGAACCUGUCCGCAAUGAUAGUCAUUUUGCUCUACUGCUCUUCAGAGGAGCUACUUGGAGCAGCAGAGUUUUGUGAGCUGACUGCAAGGUCUGAGAGAUGACACUAUUGCUUUGCAUUAGGUUCACAGUUAGGUUUAUCGUGUCAUCCAAAGGCAUACACUGAAAGCAUUGGUGGGUCAGCCUUCACCACACAUCAGGAUCCUUAAUAGCAAGGUAGGAAAUGUAUAUGGAUUACAAAAAAAAGACAAUCCAGUUUCAUCAUAAGUAAUAAGAAUUUGGAAAGCAUAUUACAUUUCAUUAGACUUUGCAACUUUAGUCAAUCACUGUGUCACAUUAAGAGGAGAUUUAUGGGAGGCAUAUUAUCCCACAUUGGCCCACUGGAAUGUUAUUACACUUUCUCUGAAACCCCUACAUUACUACAUCCAGAAGAGUAUGCUAAACUUUGGUCUCAUAAAACAAAGACAAGUUUGAGUUUUUGUGUUUUUUGGUCCAGGAAUACAUUUUUCCUGUGGGUGAGCCUGUAAUGAAAUUCUGGUAACUUCUCCAUGUUCUCUGUGCAACUUAACAAUAAAAAAGUUGGCUUUUGAAUAUACAGUAGUGGAAUAUGUGUUAAGCCUUCAAACCACAUCACUUUCACAAGUGCUAAGGAGGGUACUCCAACCUGGAAUAAGAUUUCCAAACAGAGAGGUAUAAGAACAAUCCUGGUUUUCACGAGCUGCCAAGCAAUGUAAUUAUGCACCUAUACAAUAUACAGUUUAAUUUAUAGUUCAAGGAAAACAGGGAAGAUAAUACUUCCAAGCUGGUUAGGUUUGUACCUUCGUAAGCACAGUGGUACUUCAUUCUCACCUCCAGGUCCCAGUCUUACUUGCCAGCUGGUGUUGGCACAAGGAAUUCUACUUUAUCCUUAAAACAGUGCACCACCAGGAAUCUGCCUUAACACCUGGAAUGACAAUGGUCUGGAAAUGGAAGAGGUCUGCAUGUUUUUUUUUUAUUAUUUAUUUUUUCUUCUUUUUGAGCUUCUUUAGAAAUUUUCUGUUUACUUUGAAACCUAGCAUGGCAAACGUAGCCUUUUCUCUUAAAAUGUUUUAAGUGGCUAUACCACGUCUGUAUUUUUAUCUCAUGUCACCCUUGAUUGAAAGGUUCUUCGCAGCUAAAAUAACAUGAUGAAGGCAUGGAAAUUAUUUUUGUCUUAGUUUCUAUCGGAAGCUUAAAAGAAACCUGUUUCUUCAUACAGAAUUAGUAUUCUUUUGCACACAUACAUGUAGAUGUGUGCUCCCCAAGGAUAGGUGCAUACACACAUGUACACACACACACUCAAAAGACACACAAGGAUGUAUGCAUUGCUAAAUUCACACAGGGAGUACGCAAUAGUAAGAUUUCCAAGUUAGUCAUUCAAAUUUGCCCAUAUAGCUUUAAAUUUUACCCUGUUGUGCAUAUACAUUAUAGCAAUCUUUAAUUAGCUGACCCAGUACUCUAUUUUACCAUUCCUUUACAUAACUCAGAGCAGAAAAGAGGGGUGUUCAGUUAAUGAACAGUAUUCAACUGUUAGUCAGUGUGCAUUCGGUGGCAUACUUGCAGCUCACUGUUUGGACCCUGUUAGACGACAGCAGCAGUCUUUUUCUCCUGAGGUCUUCUAUAUUAUUUCCCAAGUUAGUAAGUAUAUAAGCACUUCCAAAAUCUGAGUAACACCCAAGCCAGAGAAAGUUUCAUUAUUGAAGCAUACUUGUUCCACUGAAGCACAGGAAAAUUAACACCUGAAGUAUCUGUUAAUUUUGGAUGCCCUCUCUGAGAUACCAAGGACUGUGUUUUUUCAAAGUAACUGGUAUUAGAUACCUAGUACAAGACACGAUUUUUAUCAGUUGUAGCUGAGAGUGUUCAGCAUUUUUGUGUUUCAACCUUCAGACUUCCAAGUCAGGUGCCUAGAAAAUGAAGAAACUAAAAUUAAUGACCACCCCUGAAAAAUUUAAAUUACUUUAUAAGCAUCCUAGGGAAUCUGUGGUGGAAGCCAGGAUGGAAUGUAAUUCCCUCCCCCUCUGGAGCAAUGUUCACUUUCUCAGCCAUGAAACCAUCUUUUCCUGUAAUUCCUUGCCUUAUUCCUGCACUUCCUAACCUCAGCUAAAAAUAAAUCAGCAAUCUGCUUUGUUUUACAGUUCUGCAUCAUCUUUAAAGGUUAUCCAUAGUUGCAACAAAAUAGGCAAAAUACGCUCCAGUGUAUUUCUAACUUACUCAGUAAGCCGUAAUUUCCCUCCUCAGGCCACUGUCACAGUCUUCCCACAUGCUUAUUCUGCUUCCCUAGGGACUUCACCGUACUUCACUCUCCAUUUCUUUAUCCCAUUCAGCUUGUCUUACUCAGUCCUUUUAUCUUUUUCCCAGAUUCUUGUCCAAUGCAUCUGUCUCUUUCCACUGCCCACCACCUAUUUUUUCCCUCUUAGCUACUGGUCCUAGUCUCCCAUUGCACUCUUUUUGUGCAAUCUCAGUGUCUCCCUCCCCCCCGCCCCCAUCUCUUUGGCCAACCCCUCACUCUUAGCUCAUCUGUCCCUGUGUUUUCUAGGGAUCAUGACUUUGCAUAGCUGUUUUGAGCUCCCCUUCUCCCCAGUUCCCCAUCUAACUUCAUCCUUCCUUUCCCCUCCACCUGCUCUGCUCCCUCCCAUCCUGGGGGGGCAGUGGGAUGGCCCCUGCUGCUCCCUGACAGACACUUCUCCUCAGACAGUAAAGAGGAGCGUUAGUCUUUAUACAUACUGGUAGUGGUGACAAGCAUGGUAAAGUUCCAUAUGGUGAGAACAUUUGAGAUGGACUUAAAAGCUUCUGGGUCUAGAAGUUGCUUAUGGCAGCAAAGAAGAUACACAUUGCACUCCCUCUGAGGAAAUGCAAUCUGAAUACAAACCAGAAAGUAAAGGAGGAGGAGGGAAAGAAGGCUGAGAUGUUUCUCUGCGAGUCUGUCCAAGUUUCUGUGCCACUGCUUUUGCAUAGAUUGUUAUGGCAAGUAAUCUUGGAAUCGUAUCUGAAACAGCAAUUAGGGAGAGGCUGAGCUUAGCGAGUACGUACGUGUCUGCAGCAGAGUUAAGAGAGGGCCAUCUGCUGUGCAGCAUUUUAUGAGUGUUUUCUUCUUCUAAGUGAACUACACCUGCUGCACAUGUGGCCAGUGAAUUUUAAAUAGAUGAGUCAAAAUAUUCAUGCUGCAAGGUUGCUGAUGAAUAAAGCUUAACAAUCUGAUUAUACGUGUGUGUGUGUGUAUAUUUAUUUAUUUGUGCACAUUACAUGGAAAAUAAAAUUGCUACUCUGAUGUGUUUGUGCUAAUAGAAAAUGAAGCCAUUUACACUCCAUUGUUAAUGUGAUUUUAUGGGAUUUAUUGACAUGGCAAGUUUAUUUUAGACAUAUGAAGACCCAGGGGAGUGGGAUUAUAAUAGCAACAUUAAUUUAUCUUCUUAGUGCUAAGGAAGGAAAAAACCCAAACUUGCUAAGCUUUGUUUUACCUGCAGGGGUUCUGAAAAAAGCAGCUGUCACUUUUUUAAGUCUUAUUUAGUAUAUGCCAUCAUUUUUCAUCUGGCUUCUGAAUUGAUAUUGCAGCUGUGCUGGCGGAAAAGGAAGCUCUCCACCUGCUCCAAGUCCAGAACAAAGUACUUAAUCUUGGAGACAAGCACUGAGAGCAAAAGGGAGUUUCUCUGCAUGAAUCUGGUUGUUCUGCCACAGAAAUGAUGGCAGUGGAUUUGUGUCUCUAGUCUACUGUUGCUAAUACUGAUUUCUGUAAGUUGAUGGAGCAUGGAGUACCUUAUUACCAAAUGCCAUCAUAGACAUGUUUUGCAACCAUUGCUGUGCCACAGUUGUACAGUGCUGUGCUCUGAAGCGUUAUGAAGGCCCUUAGGCAGCCUGAAUGUAAAAACAUUCACUGAAGAAUCAUGAAGACAACUAUCAUCAUCCAAGGGUGAAUUUUAAUUUGAAAUAAUUUUUAUCCCCAAAUAAAAUCUGUCAUUUGGGUCAUUGCUUCUGUAAAAUGAUUUUUUUUUUUUUUUUACAGAAGCAAGAAUAGUUUAGAUCUUUUCUUGGCCAUUAAUCAUGUUUGGUAAGCCAUUUAAAUGAUUUACUAAGUCUCUUUUAUGAGUUAUGCAUUGCUUAUUGUAAAGAAUGGCAUCGGAGUCUGCCCUUUCAUCAAUGUAGGUAUGUAUAAACCCGUAGAUCCAAAAAUGUUUCAGAGCUCCCAGCUGUACAGUUAUAUUGAAGGUCGCUGUCAGGGUGAGAUCAUGUACCAGCUCCUCCUGUGCAUUGUUUUCUUGUGAAGAGAAUCUGCGUGUUUGGGCUAGAUGGGAGCAGCAGCAGGCACCAGACAGAGAGACAAGUGCCCCGACAGUCACCGGCUGCUUACUCCAGGCACCAGCCUCUGGCUCUCUCUUUGCCAAGUAUUGCGCAAGCAGGUAUAACACCGAAACCGAGCUUUUCAGAUCGAACAUUUUUCUCUGAAGACACAAACUUCAUGUGUGAGAUGUUACGAGCUCAGACCAGGUGCUGAGGCUAUUUGCAUUGCUGGGUCUGUCCACCUCUGCAGAGCUGCUUGGCAAAUAAUGUGGUCACACUUUGGCGGUAUUUCAGGAAGCCAGCAGCACAGAGGCAUCUUGACAUCGGGGUGGCCUGUAUUUAGCAAUGAAUUAAAGUUUCAUUCUUCAUAUUAAGGGUUUCACAGAGGUUGCUUGCUGCUCUCCAGAGGAGAUGGGCAGUGGAGCUGUUCAGGAGAUAAAAGCUCGCUGCCAAAUAAUCUGUUGAGCAAAUAACUGGCUGUGCCUUCAGGGUGCAAUGAUACCAUGACUGUUCAGACAAAACAGCACUGAAAAUGUCUGACAACGGUAAAGUCUCACAAACUUUAAUCUCACAAGCUUAUUACUCGCAAACUUAAUUAGGUAUCACAGUGAAAUGCAUAAACCUGUUUACUUCUACGCUCAGAAGGACUUUUGUGACAUUUGCAACAAUAUAGAGAUAGGCGGCACCUUACGGCUGUUAUGUUUCAGUCUUGCAGUGUGUUUUCAGGAGGCACUAAGAUGGUCAGUGGAGAUACUUUUAGGUGUAAAGCUUUAAUUUUAUAUGUAUUCUAAGUAAACAGGAUUAGGUCUAAUUAACUGUAGUUAUCUUAAUUGUGAAUUAAUUUGCUAUCAUACCUAUGCUGUAAUUAAUGUCUUAAUGGAUACUUACAUUAAUAUUUUUUGGUCCCAUCUGCACUGCUUUCCCUUGCAAAUAAAUAUCCAUGUUAUAGUUAACAAAUUAGUGGAUGCUGAAGAAGAGAAUUGCCUUUUCUUCUGUGGUGCGGAUUGAUUUUGAAACCCAGAAGUGACAACAGUGGAAGGGCAGGCACUACUAAGUUACAGGAAGUGCAUCCAUAUUCAGGUUGGGUUGAAGGGCACUUUCAAGAUCUCUCUCCCAGUUGUCCCUGCUUUCUGGGCUUUGGCUGGCAUCAGACAGUAGUCUUGGAGUGCAUGAACUGGAUUCUUUUCAGGUGAGACUAAACUGAAAGACAAGCUGUAGCAUUCAGCCCAUGGGGCCAGACAGGAGAUAAUCUUAAGUAAAAUAUCAAAACCUGAAAUGUGUGUGCUGUUGGUGUCAAAACCUCUGCAUCAACAGUUUUACUCUAGAGUGGUCCACGCUAUUUGCUAAUGUAGACCUAGCUAAAAGGUAGCACAAACUAGAGUCUUUUUCUGCUGAUAAUUUCCAGGAAACUGGGAACAGAAAAUAUCCCUCAUCUAUAGAAAGACAGACCUCAAGAUUUGUACUUUUUCAGUAGUCAGAAAAGAAAUAGCUUUUUUGUGCAUUACUACUGAUUAUUUAAAUUGCACCAUUUGAAUUCCUGUGCAAUUGAAAGAUCAGAAAUAAGGAUGCCAGGAAAUAGUUUAAUCUGCUGCUCCAGUUUCUCUCUACUGCUAGAUAAUCAGUUUUUGAUGGAAAAUGUGGCCAAUGUAUUGUCUCCUUUAUAGUCAGCACUUUUGACUUCUUUAAUUUUAGUUUCCCCUGUCCCACUGUUCUUAAAAAAUAAAAUCACUUGUAAUAAAA